rnacentral:rRNA from 1 species
UACGGGGGGGGCAAGCGUUGUUCGGAAUUACUGGGCGUAAAGGGCUCGUAGGCGGCCAACUAAGUCAGACGUGAAAUCCCUCGGCUUAACCGGGGAACUGCGUCUGAUACUGGUUGGCUUGAGUGUGGGAGGAGGGAUGCGGAAUUCCAGGUGUAGCGGUGAAAUGCGUAGAUAUCUGGAGGAACACCGGUGGCGAAGGCGGCAUCCUGGACCAUUACUGACGCUGAGGAGCGAAAGCCAGGGGAGCAAACGGG